UACAGAGGUCUCGAGCGUUAGGCGGAAUCACUGGGCUUAAAGCGUGUGUAGGCGGGUCGUUAAGUACCUUGUGAAAUCCCAUGGCUCAACCAUGGAACUGCUGGGUAUACUGGUGAUCUUGUGCAACCUAGGGGCGAGCGGAACAGAUGGUGGAGCGGUGAAAUGCGUAGAUAUCAUCUGGAACGCCAAUGGUGAAAACAGCUCGCUGGGGGUUUGCAGACGCUGAGACACGAAAGCCAGGGGAGCGAACGGG
rnacentral:rRNA from 1 species